UACAGAGGGUGCGAGCGUUAAUCGGAAUUACUGGGCGUAAAGGGUGCGUAGGUGGAGAAGUAAGUUAGGUGUGAAAACCCAGGGCUUAACCGUGGGCUUGCGCUUAAAACUGCUUGUCUAGAGUACUGUAGAGGGAAGUGGAAUUUUCGGUGUAGCGGUGAAAUGCGUAGAUAUCGGAAGGAACACCAGUGGCGAAGGCGACUUUCUGGACAGAUACUGACACUGAGGCACGAGAGCGUGGGUAGCAAACAGG
rnacentral:misc_RNA from 1 species